rnacentral:lncRNA from 1 species
CGACAUCCGAUCCUCGUUUGCUAAGUCAAACGACACUGCUGGUCCUGCUCACACUGCCCUACCCUGUGCUUUGACCUCUUUCUCCCCUCUCUCUCCAGAUGAAAUCUCGCGUCUUGUGACGGCCGGCCGCCCAACAACCUGCCCACUUGACCCUAUCCCCUCCUCUCUUCUCCAGACCAUUUCCGGAGACCUUCUCCCCUACCUCACCUCGCUCAUCAACGCAUCCUUGACCGCUGGCUACGUCCCUUCCGUCUUCAAGAGAGCGAGAGUUGCACCCCUUCUGAAAAAACCUACACUCGACCCCUCCGAUGUCAACAACUACAGACCUAUCUGCUGCCUUUGAUACCGUGAACCAUCAGAUCCUCCUCUCCACCCUCUCCGAGCUGGGCAUCUCUGGCACCGCGCACGCUUGGAUUGCGUCCUACCUGACAGGUCGCUCCUACCAGGUGGCGAAUCGCAUCUCUGCAUGUCUGGCAGACAUAUCAGUGUGGAUGACGGAUCACCACCUCAAGCUGAACCUCGGCAAGACGGAGCUGCUCUUCCUCCCGGGGAAGGACUGCCCGUUCCAUGAUCUCGCCAUCACGGUUGACAACUCCCUUGUGUCCUCCUCCCAGAGUGCUAAGAGCCUUGGCGUGACCCUGGACAACACCCUGUCGUUCUCCACCAACAUCAAGGCGGUGACCCGAUCCUGUAGGUUCAUGCUCUACAACAUUCGCAGAGUACGACCCUGCCUCACACAGGAAGCGGCGCAG